rnacentral:rRNA from 1 species
GAUAAACGCUGGCGGCGCACAUAAGACAUGCAAGUCGAACGGACUUAACUCAUUCUUUUAGAUUGAGAGCGGUUGGUGGCGGACUGGUGAGUAACACGUAAGCAACCUGCCUAUCAGAGGGGAAUAACAGUGAGAAAUCAUUGCUAAUACCGCAUAAGCUAGUAGCAUCGCAUGAUGUAGCUAGAAAAGGAGUAAUCCGCUGAUAGAUGGGCUUGCGUCUGAUUAGCUAGUUGGUGGGGCAACGGCCUACCAAGGCGACGAUCAGUAGCCGGACGGAGAGGUUGAACGGCCACAUUGGGACUGAGAUACGGCCCAGACUCCUACGGGAGGCAACAGUCGGGAAUAUUGCGCAAUGGAGGAAACUCUGACGCAGUGACGCCGCGUAUAGGAAGAAGGUUUUCGGAUUGUAAACUGUUGUCGUGAGGGAAGAAAUUGACAGUACCUCAGGAGGAAGCUCCGGCUAACUAUGUGCCAGCAGCCGCCGUAA